GAGAUUGAUGAUUUGUAUAAUGCCCUGAUGACCGCUGCUCCACCAAUGGUUAUGUUGUAUUUUUAGGUCGAAAUUGAGUUCCUGGACAGCGAAGAAAAAACCUACCAUAGCUCGAUCCUCUACUGAAAGUGAGUACCAGGCACUUGCUAAUGCUAUUGCUGAAUUAAUGUGGGUCAAAUCUUUACUUGGUGAGCUGGGCUUCACUUCUAUUGCUCCCGCUACUCUAUGGUGUGAUAAUAUAUAUUUGAGCAAUAUAUUUAACAUCCAAUCCUGUUUUCAUGCUUGGACUAAGCACAUAGAAUUGGACUGUCACUUUGUUCGGGAACUGAUUACUCAAGGCAAGCUUCGUGUCAACUUCAUCUCAAGCCAAGAUCAAUUGGCUGACAUUUUCGCUAACCCGUUUGGCACAUGGUUAUUUGAACAUCAAAGGGACAAGCUGCGACUCAUGACUGCCGAGACAACAGCUUGAGAGGAGCUGUUAAGGAUAUACUACCUGUAACAAUAUCUGUUACCUUUAUCUUUCCUCGUAACCAUCUGUUAGCCUUCGUUUAUCUUGUAAAUCAUUGUUAUCAUCAUCUGUAAACUUCUAUAUAUUGUAAAUCUCUUAUAUAGCAAUACAAUCAAGAAUCAAUUUCACUCAAAUAACUUCUUCAUUAAUAUCUAUUACAUAUUUUGUCAACUUUUUUAGCAUGCUAGCUCCAAUACUCCUUUUUCGUCAUCUAUUUGAUACUCUACUAUAGAGGGUAGUCAUCAUUAUAAUUGGUCUUGAAGCAAGGAUAGGACUAAAGAAGUUCCUUAAUUUCCUACUCAUUUAUUUAUUUAUUUAUUUU
rnacentral:misc_RNA from 1 species